rnacentral:lncRNA from 1 species
UGAGGUGGUGCGAGUAUUGCCGUACCCAGAAUGCGAUCUCGAGUGUCAGGGAUAUUGCAGUUGAGAUGCGAUGGUGGCGAAUCGCUCCACACGGGUUACGACGCAACUAGGGAUCGCGGAAGAAAGAGUUGCCUUGGACUCUCCUGGCCAGCUAGGAAAAUGGUAAAACCCUACAGGAGGAGCGAGUGAAUCUGCUCCUACGCUUCAACGCCCCGGAGAUCGUUCUGGGGGGAUUCGCGGAUUUUAUGGGUUUGUUUGGUUGCGUUAAUCUUAACUCUGCUUUUGUGGUUUGAUUUCGAAAAAUCGCGAAGAGAUUCUCAUGGGAUUUGUGUCGCUUUUGAGAGUGCUAGCUUAGGAACGCUUUUUCAGUUUCCACUGAGUCCUCUCCAAGUUGUUUUUGUUUUUAUUGCUGCGGUGUUUUUGUCCAUCGACAUGGUUCGAAUCGUCGAAGCCUGUUUGAACCUCUCUCCCAUUGAGCGUAGCCACCGACAAAAGCUGAAAUCUGCCUGCAGCCCACUCCAGUGGUUUCUCAUAUUUGGACAGUUCAGCCACAAUUUUGUUUUGAUCUAUUUAUAGAUAUUUUAUGCUUGAAAUAGUUGGAUUGUGUUGUUGACGUUGUCGCAGUUUCACCAAUGUUGAAUUGCGUUAUCGCUGACCUAAUUGUUGAACAGCUUACAUUGUAUGAUCGUUGGCCUAACUAUUGGAUUGUGUUACGUUGAUUUGUUCUAAAUGAGAUGGUUUUUAGGAGGAACUAGAAAUUUACGUUUUAUGAAUUUUGUUGAAAUCGAAUAGGAAUCAAAUGAACUAGUUUGGUUUAGAUGGAAUGUUUUCUAUUUUUUUAUGCCUUUAUUAUUUUGUUUCUAGGGUUUUUUUUUAUAAGAAUUACCACAAAAAAGAAGGUAUUAAUAUACAU